UACAUACUCCCUCCGUUCGGAAUUACUCGUCCAAGAAAUGAAUGUAUCUAGAUGUAUUUUAGUUGUUGAUACAUCCAUUUUUGUGACAAGUAAUUCCGAAUGAAGGGAGUACUAA
rnacentral:pre_miRNA from 1 species